GUGCCAGCCGCCGCGUAAUUCCAGCUCCAAUAGCGUAUAUUAAAGUUGUUGUGGUUAAAAAGCUCGUAGUUGAACCUUGGGCCUGGCUGGCCGGUCCGCCUCACCGCGUGCACUGGUCCGGCCGGGCCUUUCCCUCUGUGGAACCCCAUACCCUUCACUGGGCGUGGCGGGGAAACAGGACAUUUACUUUGAAAAAAUUAGAGUGCUCCAGGCAGGCCUAUGCUCGAAUACAUUAGCAUGGAAUAAUAAAAUAGGACGCGCGGUUCUAUUUUGUUGGUUUAUAGGACCGCCGUAAUGAUUAAUAGGGACAGUCGGGGGCAUCAGUAUUCAACUGUCAGAGGUGAAAUUCUUGGAUCAGUUGAAGACUAACUACUGCGAAAGCAUUUGCCAAGGAUGUUUUCAUUAAUCAGGAACGAAAGUUAGGGGAUCGAAGACGAUCAGAUACCGUCGUAGUCUUAACCAUAAACUAUGCCGACUAGGGAUCGGACGGUGUUAUUCAUGACCCGUUCGGCACCUUACGAGAAAUCAAAGUGCUUGGGCUCCAGGGGGAGUAUGGUCGCAAGGCUGAAACUUAAAGAAAUUGACGGAAGGGCACCACCAGGGGUGGAGCCUGCGGCUUAAUUUGACUCAACACGGGGAAACUCACCAGGUCCAGACACAAUAAGGAUUGACAGAUUGAGAGCUCUUUCUUGAUUUUGUGGGUGGUGGUGCAUGGCCGUUCUUAGUUGGUGGGGUGACUUGUCUGCUUAAUUGCGAUAACCGAAC
rnacentral:rRNA from 1 species